AGCGGAGGAAAAGAAACCAACAGGGAUUGCCUCAGUAACGGCGAGUGAAGCGGCAAAAGCUCAAAUUUGAAAUCUGGUACCUUUGGUGCCCGAGUUGUAAUUUGAAGAUAGUUUUCUGGUGCUGGCCCUUGUCUAUGUUCCUUGGAACAGGACGUCACAGAGGGUGAGAAUCCCGUCUGGCGGGGUGUCCAGUGCUUUGUAGAUUUCUAUCGACGAGUCGAGUUGUUUGGGAAUGCAGCUCUAAGUGGGUGGUAAAUUCCAUCUAAAGCUAAAUAUUGGCGAGAGACCGAUAGCGAACAAGUACAGUGAUGGAAAGAUGAAAAGAACUUUGAAAAGAGAGUGAAAAAGUACGUGAAAUUGUUGAAAGGGAAGGGUAUUAGAUCAGACUUGGUGUUUUGUGAUUAUCUUCCCUUCUUGGGUUGUGCACUCGCAUUUCACUGGGCCAGCAUCGGUUCGGGUGGUAAGAUAAUGACAUUGGAACGUGGCACUACCUUCGGGUGGUGUGUUAUAGCCCUUGUUGAUGUUGCCUGCCUGGACCGAGGACUGCGGCUUUUGCCUAGGAUGCUGGCGUAAUGAUCUAACACCGCCCGUCUUG
rnacentral:rRNA from 1 species